rnacentral:rRNA from 1 species
UAGAUACCCUGGUAGUCCAUGCCGUAAACGAUGAGUGUUCGCCCUUGGUCUAUUCUGAUCUGGGGCUCAGCUAACGCGUUAAACACUCCGCCUGGGGAGUACGGUCGCAAGACCGAAACUCAAAGGAAUUGACGGGGGCCUGCACAAGCGGUGGAGCAUGUGGUUUAAUUCGAUACAACGCGCAGAACCUUACCAGCCCUUGACAUAUGAACGAGAAACCCUAUCCUUAACGGGAUGGUACUGACUUUCA